CAACCUGCCCUGGAGACAUGGACAACCCCUUGAAAAUGGGAUUAAUCCGUGAUAGGUCAUCUCAUCUGGAAAGAGAGAUGGCUUAAAGGGGUGCGCGGGUUCCUUCCACGUAUUUGCUCCAGGAUGGGACUGCGUCCGAUCAGGCUGUUGGCGGGGUAAUGGCCCACCAAGCCAGUAACCGGUACGGGCCUUGAGAGAGGUGGCCCGGAGAUGGACACUGAGAGAAGGGUCCAGGUCCUACGGGGCGCAGCAGGCGCGAAACCUUCGCAAUGCGCGAAAGCGUGACGAGGUUAAUCCGAGUGAUUUCCGCUGAGGAGAUCUUUUGUCAGCUGUAAAUAGGCAGGCGAAUAAGGGGAGGGCAAGCCUGGUGUCAGCCGCCGCGGUAAUACCAGCUCCUCGAGUGGUCGGGGCGAUUAUUGGGCCUAAAGCAUCCGUAGCCGGUUCCGUAGGUCCUCUGUUAAAUCCAACCGCUCAACGGUUGACCUGCAGAGGAUACCGCGAGACUAGGAGGCGGGAGAGGCGGACGGUACUCCGCGUGUAGGGGUAAAAUCCUUUGAUCCGCGGAAGA
rnacentral:rRNA from 1 species